UUUUAGUACUCAAAAAUUUAAUUUAUUAUAAUUUUUAUCUUGUAUUUUCUGAAUUAUUAUAAUAAAGUCUCAUAAUUCAAUUUGAUAGGCUAAAUAUUGGCGAAUUAUUAGUGGACAAAUAAUAUAAUAUCUUAAUUAUAUAUUAUUGCAUCAUCAAUUACAAUAUUUUUAUAUUACUUCUAUAUUAGUAAUUUAUUAAUAUUCAGCCAAUCAGAUUAUAUUGUAAGAUUUGAUUAUACUAAUUUAAAACAAUUAAGUUAAAUAAAUUAUGGUUUGAAGACCAAAAUGUUAUGUAGCAUUAUAUUUGAGGAAUAAAAGUGUACUUUAUCCAUAUCUAACUGGGAAAGCGUCUAAUACAGCUUUUUCUUUGAGGCUGUGUUUCGUUAGAGAACUAAAUUCUAGAGAAUAAUUUUUGUUAUUCCCAAAAUCAGGGGAUAUUUCGGUACAAAAUAGAAGAAUUAUAAAUUUGUAUUUGGAUACAUUCGGGAAUAUUCUAAGGAUAUUCUUAAUAGCGUUUGGAUAAAAAGUCAAGAAUAAGGUCUAAAUAUAUUUUUUGGAAGGCUAAAUUAUAUAAAAUUUUCCUGUCAAAAUCCGAUUUUUCAUUUUUUCCCGCUAUCAUUUAAAAACCUACACUUUACCCCGUGUAAAAUGAAAAAAUGAUCACUUCGCCCCCCACCGUUAGUAAUCCGUUAGGGUUCCAUUUAUAAAAUAUUAUUAUAUUUUUUUAUACCAAAAAUACCCUCAGUCUUCUCUUCUGUAAAAAUGGUGAGUGGCAAAAUGGUUAUUUUAUCAUUACAGUUCACACCGUAACCCCUAUGAACAUUUUUCAUUUUACAAGGGGUAAAAUAUACGUUUUUAAAUUACAGGGGCGGAAAGUGAAAAAUCAAAUUUUGACAGGAGGUUUUUCUGUAAUUUAGCCUUUUAAAAAUAAAAUAAUUAAUUUAUAUUACUAUAUUUUAUAUAAAAUUAUUUAUAAAAUUAUUUCAUAUUGUAAUUUAUAAUAUAAUAUUUUAUGUAACCGUUUAAUUUAAAAUAGUAUAUUUAUUUUAUGUAAUAAUUUAUUAUAUAUAAAUUAUUCAUAAUAUAUGUAAUGAAUAAAGUAUAAUA
rnacentral:lncRNA from 1 species